rnacentral:ncRNA from 1 species
UACCGAUAAAGGCAAACUUUGGGAAACCGGAGGACGCAAAGCUAAAGGGCCUGUAAAAUGGCAGCCAGCUACCGAA